AACGAACGCUGGCGGCAUGCCUAACACAUGCAAGUCGAACGAGACCUUCGGGUCUAGUGGCGCUCGGGUGCGUACCGCGUGGUAAGCUGCCCUUAGGUUCGGAAUCCCUGAGAGAAAUUUGAGCUCAUACCGGUUGAUGUCUUCGCACCAAAGAUUUAUCGCCUUUUGAUGGGCCCGGGUUGGAUUCGCGAGUUGGUGGGGUAAAGGCCUGCCAAGGCGGCGAUCCAUAGCUGGUCUGAGAGGAUGAUCAGCCACAAUGGGACUGAGACACGGACCAGACUCCUACGGGACGCAGCAGUGUGGAAUAUUGGAGGAUGGGGGAAAGCCUGAUCAAGCAAUGCCGCGUGAGUGAGGAAGGCCGUAGGGUUGUAAAGCUCUUUGACACGAGAUGAUAAUGACAGUAUCGGGAGAAUAAGCACCGGCUAACUCCGUG
rnacentral:rRNA from 1 species